ACUUGGAGCUGCACCACAGCUUCUUCUUAAUGCGUUCAGCCGGCUGAACGAUCCGAUCCGACACAGACCACCUCGUGAGAAUCCAAUGGCUUCAGGUCACAACAUUCAGGGUAAAGGAGGGCUGUCGUCUUUAUGCUCAGCAAACCAAGUGCUGGCUGCCGCUCUAUCUUCACCCCACAGGAAGGAGGUGGCAAUGAAGAGAACCUCUCUCAGGUCACAUGCCGGCUUAUGGUUCAGCAACUCUGAAGACGUCAACCGAUGGCACCGAGCAGGACGGCGAGUUCCACACGUUCUUCUUACGUUACAGCAGGUUGAAUCGUAUAAGAAACGGACGUCGGCGUGACUCGUUUAGUAACUAGCCAACCAGACGCAGGCGCCGCGUCCGUAAGCCAAUCGAAUGCUGUCAAACGUUAAAACUCCUCUCCUCUCUGUUGCCGCCAGUUGUCUUUUCAGAAAGCACCAGGAGAACCAGGAGAACCAGAAGGCCUCCACCACCCUUCUCCACCG
ensembl:lncRNA